rnacentral:misc_RNA from 1 species
GCUUCCUCGCCAAAUCCUAAUGAACCUCUGUAAUUUACAAUCAACAAGCUGUAACCUAUUGAAGAGAGAAAUGCCGAAGACGUUGAGAAACUUGACACUGAGACGUCAUUUGGCCCUCCAUGAAGCAAUACUAUUAGUGGAUCACAAGCGCCAUUCUCCUUGGAAUUGAACACGAAUAUAGCUUCAAAAGGUUUGCCAGCUCCUUUUGUUAGGCAGCUGGAAACAUCCUUGACUGGGAUCUUCAAUAUAUCAAACUGACGAGAUGAGAGCAAGGAUCUCACCAUCUCAGAGCAACUAACUAUUGGGCUUG